AACAAACGCUGGCGGCGUGCCUAAUACAUGCAAGUCGAACGGGGUAGCAAUACCUAGUGGCGCACGGGUGAGGAACGCGUGGAUAAUCUGCCUUAGAGUGGGGGAUAACUAGUCGAAAGAUUAGCUAAUACCGCAUAAGACCACAGGAGCUGCGGCUCUAGGGGUCAAAGGUUUUUCGCUCUAAGAUGAGUCCGCGUAAGAUUAGCUAGUUGGUUAGGUAACGGCUCAACAAGGCGACGAUCUUUAACUGGUCUGAGAGGAUGAUCAGUCACACUGGAACUGAGACACGGUCCAGACUCCUACGGGAGGCAGCAGUAGGGAAUAUUGCACAAUGGAGGAAACUCUGAUGCAGCGACGCCGCGUGAGUGAUGAAGGCCUUCGGGUCGUAAAGCUCUGUCGCAGGGGAAUAACACAAUGAAUGUACCCUGUAAGAAAGGAUCGGCUAACUUCGUGCCAGCAGCCGCCGUAACAC
rnacentral:rRNA from 1 species